GAUGAACGCUGGCUACAGGCUUAACACAUGCAAGUCGAGGGGAAACGACGGGGAAGCUUGCUUCCUCGGGCGUCGACCGGCGCACGGGUGAGUAACGCGUAUCCAACCUGCCUCUGACUGAGGGAUAACCCGUCGAAAGUCGGCCUAAUACCUCAUGGCAUCGUCUGCGGGCAUCCAACGACGAUUAAAGAUUUCAUCGGUCAGAGAUGGGGAUGCGUCUGAUUAGCUUGUUGGCGGGGUAACGGCCCACCAAGGCGACGAUCAGUAGGGGUUCUGAGAGGAAGGUCCCCCACAUUGGAACUGAGACACGGUCCAAACUCCUACGGGAGGCAGCAGUGAGGAAUAUUGGUCAAUGGGCGAGAGCCUGAACCAGCCAAGUAGCGUGCAGGAUGACGGCCCUAUGGGUUGUAAACUGCUUUUAUGCGGGGAUAAAGUGAGGGACGUGUCCUUCAUUGCAGGUACCGCAUGAAUAAGGACCGGCUAAUUCCGUG
rnacentral:rRNA from 1 species